rnacentral:lncRNA from 1 species
GCGAUAACACCUCAAAGGCUAGAGAGAAAAGCUGCUAUUCACCUCUCUGACAGACUAUAUUGCAUAUUGAGGUAUGACAGCUCAGGAACCUACUGCAUUUUUAUCUACAGUAGACUUUGAAAACGAGCAUUUGAAAGUCCCUUUCUGCUACUCAUAAUCUGUCCCUUACCUCUUUAUGACCCAUAGAGGCUGUAUGAUGAAGGACUUUGCCACUGUCACCAACAAAUCCAAAGUAGAAAACUGUAAAAUUAAGGGGAAGGAUUAAAAAGUUAACAAUCAGACUCUUUUAUUGCUGUUUUCUGGCUAGUAAGAUUUUUGGUGUAUUAUUCCCCAAACAACUAGAAUGCACAAACAAUGGAAAAGCAAUGGGCAGUUUUUUCCAGAAACAUUUUCUGUCUUAUAUUUUCCAUCCUAUGUUCAGCUUCCCCAUGUGAUGUACAGUUGUCUCCCUGCUGAAAGUCUGCAAAGUUAACAGCUGAGCUGUAUGUCCCUCUGUCUGGAUGGGUGGGCAGUUGGAUCCCAGAUGGAUGAAAACUCUCAUUUCUACGUUGAAACAGGAAAGGGUCAAGGCUGCUUCAGUCCCACCCGUCCUUUCCUGUUGGCUUUUCUCAUUCAAAACAGGGAAACUCAGAUCCUUCUGGGGGAUGACUUUUAGCAAAUAGUAGUAUUUGUAAGGUAAUGUCUGCUAUCUAUUGUGACAGCUGAUGGUUCUGUAUUUCCUCAAGGUGUUUGAUUGUUUUCAAGUCAUUGUUAUGAGGAAGAAUAUGUUUGCAGAAAAACCUUGGCACCUCGUCUGAGUUCUCACAUUUCCCUCUCUGAACUCCACCCCUCUGAUGAAGAACCAAACAGGAAUGGGAGCAGCUGCUCUGUACAGAAGAGAAAUGCAGCGCAUCAGCAUCAGGAACAAUAAACACAAAUCAGAUGGAAGAAGCUUGCAGUGCAGUAUUCUCAGUUUAUUCACCACUGUAUUGUGGAGAGGGGGGAAAUGCCUCAGAGAUAUUCAAACUGCAGAAACCAAUGUUGAUUCCCAGUUUUCACUCAAGCUGUUUCAACCAAAUAUACCACAAGAGUAA